UACGAAGGGGGCUAGCGUUGUUCGGAAUUACUGGGCGUAAAGGGCGCGUAGGCGGUCCCUCAAGUCAGGCGUGAAAGCCCCGGGCUCAACCUGGGAACCGCGCUUGAGACUGAUGGGCUAGAGUUCGGGAGAGGAUGGUGGAAUUCCCAGUGUAGAGGUGAAAUUCGUAGAUAUUGGGAAGAACACCGAUGGCGAAGGCAGCCAUCUGGACCGACACUGACGCUGAGGCGCGAAAGCUAGGGGAGCGAACAGG
rnacentral:rRNA from 1 species